rnacentral:tRNA from 1 species
UCGCAUUUGGCUCAGUGGUAGAGCGCUUGCCUAGCAAGCACAAGGCCCUGGGUUCGAUCCCCAGCUCCGAA